UUCCGGUUGAUCCUGCCGGAAGCGACCGCUUUUGGAGUUCGAUUAAGCCAUGCGAGUAGAAAGAAAUUAGAUUCUUUGCGAACUGCUCAGUAACACGUGGAUAACCUGCCCUAUGCUCCGGAAUAACCUCGGGAAACUGAGAAUAAUACCGGAUAGAUCACAACGCCUGGAACGGUGUGUGGUUGAAAGAUUACGGCAUAGGAUGGGUCUGCGGCGUAUCAGGUUGUAGGGGGUGUAAAGGACCUCCUAGCCAUCGACGCGUACGGGUGUUGGGAGACAUAGCCCGGAGAUGGAUUCUGAGACACGAAUCCAGACCCUACGGGGUGCAGCAGGCGCGAAAACUUCACACUGCAGGAAACUGUGAUGAGGGAACUCCAAGUGCACGCACUUAGUGUGUGCUUUUUUCAACUAUUAAUCGGUUGAAGAAUAAGGGCUGGGAAAGACCGGUGCCAGCCGCCGCGGUAAUACCGGCAGCUCAAGUGGUCGUCGCUUUUAUUGGGCCUAAAACGUCCGUAGCCUGUUUGGUAAAUCUGUGGGUAAAUCAACCAGCUUAACUGGUUGAAUUCUGCAGAGACUGCCAGACUAGGGACCGGGAGAGGUGUGGGGUACUCUAGGGGUAGGGGUAAAAUCCUGUCAUCCUUAGAGGACCACCAGUUGUGAAGGCGCCACACUGGAACGGAUCCGACGGUCAGGGACGAAGCCUAGGGGCACGAACCGGAUUAGAUACCCGGGUAGUCCUAGGUGUAAACGCUGUGAACUUGGUGUCGGGGAUCCGUCAUGGGUCCCCGGUGCCGGAGUGAAGAUGUUAAGUUCACUGCCUGGGGAGUACGGUCGCAAGGCUGAAACUUAAAGGAAUUGGCGGGGGAGCACUGCAACGGGAGGAGCGUGCGGUUUAAUUGGAUUCAACGCCGGA
rnacentral:rRNA from 1 species